rnacentral:sRNA from 1 species
GAAUGAAAUCUGUCAAUGAAAUGACCAUAAACUAGAGUAAUAAAAACGAUGGCCUAGUUUCAGUGGUCUCUUGUUUAGUAAACAUCUCAGAUGACUCGAACACGUCAUGCAGGCUUAAAUCAACAGAGCUCUUAAUUCGAAGAGUUCUCUCCCUGAAGCAGCAGUAGAUUAGCGGUGGG